ensembl:lncRNA
GGGGCCUCGCGGAGGUGGGGCCUCGCGGAGGUGGGGCCUCGCGGAGGUGGGGCCUCGCGGAGGUGGGGCCUGGCCGCAAGCUGGGACCCCGGAAGGGCACCGCGGCCCCUGCAUGUGCAGCUCCUCAGCUGCUUCUCCUGCUGCCGUCAAGUUAAAGGCCCCUAGCUGCCCCAGGAGAAACGUGCCCUCUAUCUCCUGUCUGGGCUCCUCUCGCUCCUGGUUCCCAAGGCCUCUCUGCCUCCCGCGUGAGACUUGGCCAUGUGAGCUCAGAGGGGAGACCAGGCUGGAAAUAGAAGACCUGUUAUUUCAUGGAGCAGAGACAAGCAACACCUUGGAGAUGGCUGUCAUUGUUCAGAUGCCCAGCGUCCUGAUUGAUGGCUGGGUCACCCUGCACGCGGUCUGAGCGCACUGUCUUCCUUCUUCCGCUGAUGCUUCUGAUCUGCUGACCCCAGGGUGACCCGGCAGAGGUGGAGCUGAUAUUAACAUGUCACUUUCUUUAGUUAAAUUUUUAAAGAAGGGGAAGUAGGGGCGGAAAGCAGGAAGAGAAACUUUUAGGCUAAUACGUUGCUAAUAAAGAUUGAAAACAUAUGUCACUCCUCAAGUAUGUCCUGUCAGUGUAGCCCAGAUAAAAAAACACUCUGCGUCCUCUCGGAACAG